AGGAGGUAGACUCAUGAGUUCAUCACUUGUGGCAGUGCAUGCAAGUGUUCCUUUACAAAAGACUAGGCUUGGUUGUUCAACAAGAAACAAAUUUUCCAAGACGUUUUCAAAAGGCUUGUCUUGUUGAGCAACCUUGUGGGAAGGAACACUCUUCUCCCACGCCUUCCUAUCCUUAAGGAUUUUCUCUUUUUCUAGCACUCUUUUUUUUUUGUUUUCCUCAUCCCUCUUAUGUUUCAUUUGUAUUUGGUCUUUUACCACUUGAGAAUGUGAUAAAGGACUAAGUACAAACUUCCUAUGCUUAUGGGUGAGGGAAAUCUCGUUAGUGAGACCAUCAUGUAAGGUUUUUUUUGUCAAAUUGCCAUGGUCUCCCUAAUAAGAUGUGGCAAGCUUCCAUGGGUACUACAUCACAUAAAACUUUGUCUUUGUAGUUCCCUAUGG
rnacentral:lncRNA from 1 species